rnacentral:rRNA from 1 species
CCUACGGGCGGCAGCAGUGGGGGAUAUUGCACAAUGGGGGAAACCCUGAUGCAGCGACGCCGCGUGGGUGAAGAAGCGCCUCGGCGCGUAAAGCCCUGUCAGCAGGGAAGAAAAUGACGGUACCUGAAGAAGAAGCCCCGGCUAACUACGUGCCAGCAGCCGCGGUAAUACGUAGGGGGCAAGCGUUAUUCGGAUUUACUGGGGGUACAGGGGGCGAGGACGGCGAGGCAAGCCAGGAGUGAAAGCCCGGGGCCCAACCCCGGGACUGCUCUGGGAACUGCGUGGCUAGAGUGCAGGAGGGGCAGGCGGAAUUCCUGGUGUAGCGGUGAAAUGCGUAGAUAUCAGGAGGAACACCGGUGGCGAAGGCGGCCUGCUGGACUGCAACUGACGUUGAGGCCCGAAAGCGUGGGGAGCAAACAGGAUUAGAUACCCCAGUAGUC